CCGAGCACUAUGCUUGAAUUAGAUAUCACUUGGCGGUCGUCCUAGGGUGCAUUGAUCUUUGGGUCCCGCGUAAUGGACACCUGAGAAUCGUGUCAGGGCAGGAAUGCAGCAGCACUAAGCAGGACCGUUCAUCUGACGUGGGGUCACCUGAAGGGAGCAUCCUAGGGCGGCUACCAAUUGAUAUCUAGUCAGGCGGCUCGG
rnacentral:SRP_RNA from 1 species